GGUGAGAGCACAGGCAGGAUCCUCUCUUAAUCUGCUUAGAGCCUCUCUACUUGAUGUAUAAUCAGCAAGCCCGAGUCAGAGCCAGCCGCUGCUGGAAAUUCUCUUCAGCCCGGUUGCUGUGUUGCAGCCCUGGCGGAGAAAAUCCUCCCUUGAGUCAAGAAGAAGGUCAAGACGUCUCUGCCCGCGACCACAGGAAAAAGCGGGUAUUUCGGUAGUUGCCCUUGCCCUGCACUUGAACCUUUAUGUAGUGAAGCCCUGUGAAGGAUGCUCUGCGAGUCCAGCGGAAUUUAUCAGUAUCCUUUGCAGCAGGCUCAGCAGAGAAGCACUCUUCUAGGAUGCGGGACGCUGUCUAGUAGCCAGGAGCUCUCCAGUCGCGACUAGCUGAUCCGUUUUUCAGGAGUCAGGACGGAAGCACUGGCCCCACAGCGCCUUUCCCCAGCUCUGAUUAGAGUAGAACCAGGUUCUAUACACUUUAUUUUUUUCUAAACAGAUGGUUUUUUUUUUUUUUUUUCGGGGCGAGCUGUUUGUGCAACCUGGAGAAAAGCGCAGCUGAGGUGAGCUGCGCUUUACCCGGCUAGAUGGGAUCAAGGUCUCAGCUCUUGGCUCCACAGGUGUGUGCUGCCAAGGGUGCAAACAUAAAACCUGACCUAAAAAAUACGGAAAUAUGUGUGUGUGGAGCGGGGGCAGGACUUCCAGGGGAGACAGUAUUACCAACGCUGUCAGGAAGAGAUGGGCCCCACAAAGACCACUCAGCAAGGGUCUGGUUUUUGGGAAUCUCGUCGCUGUCUGGACGGGCCAAGUGGCCUCGCCCCUGGGAAGGGGCUUCCGGCAGCGCCUCGGGGACCAGAGCUGGCCCCAGCACGGCGCUGCCCACGCGGGGAGCGGCCACGGCCCGGGAGCUCGUCGGCGCCCGCCGACCAGCGCCGCCCGGGAGCGCCGCCCGCAGGCUCUACCCCACGCGUGGGCCGGGCGGCCGAUGCAAGCGGCGGGAGCUUUAAUUUUAACGUGGAGCACUCUUUCAGUUCGUUCCUGUCUAAGUUUCCCCUGGCAGCAGCAGCGUCUGCUGGCCCUUCGGUUUGACUUGUAGGGUCUUACUCGAUUUUGCCCAAAUACCAUCGUCUUCUGGACGAGAAUUUCUCGGCAGUGCUUGCGCGGGCCAGGCGUUUAGCUCGGGAAGGAGCUGUGAGGUUAUCUCCGCAUCGGUAUGCCAUCCCUGCUCUACACUGCACAGCCUUCUUUUCGUUUGACCGGGUCUGUCUCCUGCAGAGGGUCCCUCAUACCCGGCUUUCCAGACUGGCCCAAGCCUGUGCAACGGGUCGCCGAAAACACCGUGGGACCCCGUCAACCUCCCCCACCAUCUCCCCACGAUGGGAAAUCUCUCUUCCCGUCUGUUUCCAACCUGAAAUCCUUCCCCAUCCAAGCGGGCAAACAGUAACCCUCUGGGAACGUGCCUGUGCCCAGAACACGGUGCUUUGGACGGGGAGGGAUCCUGGGUGCUCCGGGACCAGGGGUCGGUGACUGUCGGUAGCGCCUCUCCUUCCGGGGGGAGCCCACAGAGAAGGCGUCCGACUCGGGGGGCUGUUUUCCCUCCCUCUCUCCCUCCGCCCCUCACACAGGCACAGCCGCCCCGGUUCCGUGCUCCUGUGGCUGAAUUCUCAUUUAGAAGAGUCCGUGGGGGUCUCCUCAGACACGCCCGGAGGAGCCCCUGUCGGGGGCGCACGGGCGAGAAGGUGGCUUUGCACUCUCCUCUCGCUCGGGAGCAGGGCCCAGGCAGAUGAGGGCACUGCACGGGGUCAGCAUAUGCUUCUGAGCUUUUGCUGAGUGAGAGUACUCUUCUUAUCUCCGACCGUGACGAUCAAGUGACCUCCUUCCUUCGACCGACCCAAGGCAUACUGCAGAGUUGAUAUCGUAAGACUUGAGCAACGUAGCAAAUAAUAUCCCACCCAUCUGAAAAUACUCAUGUAUCAGACCAAUUAAGGGAGAAAGAAAAUAACAAAAUGAAAAAUUAUGAAUGUUGAUAUCCAAUGGUUACAGUGAUGAGAGUAAGAAAGUUUCUGUUUUGUGUUGUUUCGGGGGUUUUUUUCUGAAGUGUAACAAAAGAGUUCUUAACAAGGUAAAUCAUUACCCAUCGUAAGCAACCAGUUUAUUUUUGCUUAUAUGGUUAGAUGUAUGUAUGCUGUUUUCAGAACUCUAGCUGGCAGGAUGCCCACACUUCAGCAUGUGAUUGGCCAAGUGUGUUUUACUUUAUGCAAGAAUAAAUGCACUUGAUAAUUAUAAUUUUAUUCAAGAGCAACCAUGUAGGUAUUUAUUUCAGUUGUAGUUUGUUUUAUUUAUGUUAUGAUACACUGAUACAUAAAUGUAAAUGCUUCUGUUGUGUAUUUCAAUCAGUGUGUCUGUUCUUGUUCAAAUACUUGAUAUGUUUUUGAAAAUCUUGGUUGGUUUAUUUUGAUUUAAAGGGUGUUUUGUUUCGAAGUGGCCACAGUACGAUGGCAUGGAAGAAACAGUAUCAGAGGAGAUGGGAAUAUGAUUAUGCACAGAGAUAAACACAAGUACUUAGAUGGCACCCACUUUGUAGAAUCUCAUCCAAAUUCCAAAAAUGGUGUUUCAGGAUACAUACAGAUUUUUGCAGGAAGCAAAGAAAGCAAACUAAGGCAGUGAGUGCAGUUAAUCUAAAUAAACUAGUAUGAGAAACAACACUUGAUAGGACAGGCACAUAUGCAUGAAUUAUAGAAUUUUUUCAUUGUUAAAGUUGCCCCAAUAACUUAAUGGACCAAAAUCUGCCAUCCCUGCUCCAACAAUAUCUGCUGCUUGAAUCAAAGGUAUUUCCACUCUCCAAGAGUCUUGUUUCUCCAAAACCUGCAGUGAGUUAUCUUUGAGAACAUCUGCUUUACUGAUAAAAACCAGUAGGUCUGUAUUGGACAAUAGAUUCAGAGCUGAUCAGCUCUUUGUAAUAUUCAUCUUAGUAUACUACUCCUUGGCAAACUGACUUUCCUAUGCAGAAAGUAGACUUGGUUUGAUACCUUUAAUUUUGAGCAAUGGAGAGUGAAGAAAUGCUACCUUUCUUUCAGCACAUAUCAACAUAUUUUCAAAUUGUUUGCUAUCUUCUGCUUUACCUUCAAAAACUAUUCAUUUCCCUGUCUCUGUCUCUACAGCAGUUUUAUAGAAAAGCUUUGGGAGAGACCAGUAUCCAUCCUAGAAGGCUUUCUUGGCUGACUUCAGCUCUGAAGAAUCAAAUGUACGAAAUAAAGGCUGGCUUAUUUAAACUCCUCCCCAGGGAGCAGUUCCACAGUCUUAUCCAGCUUGCAGUUCCUAGAGCAUAAAUUAAUUCAAGCUGCAUUAACUGCACAUUUUCUUGAGCUGUUUAACAUGGACAGUGAGCAAUUGUGGGGUGUGUGGCAGCAUUUUCACAGAUAUACAGAAACACUGGCCAUUUACUCCAUUAGGGGACAUAACUAACCUGUGUAUAGCAAAAAUGAUGCUUGCCCUGGAAAAGGAUGACCAGAGACCCUAUGUAACACAGUCUGUAGUUUUACACUUAAAUAUGAGAAUGUGAGUAUCAACUGGUAACACCCUAAAAUCAUAAUAUCCAUAAAAAAACUAUAGUCAACUAAUGCCUAUGGGAAAGUAGAGCAAGGUCUGAAUUUAGUAACAUGUUAGGACUUCUCAGGGGAAGAAGCUGUUCAGUAUUUUGAAGAGUGGUUCAUUGUUCCAGCAGCUGGGCUAAGCUUCUGCUGCUGCUUCAAGCACUUCAGGGGUGAAUUUGAAAACUGCUGAGUAGUUAAAAGGGACUGACAUCAUGAAGGUCAUUUAGAUUACCACAUGGCUUCCCUUCUGCCAUCACCUGGGCUCAGUUCUCUGUGCAGCUACAGGUGAGACAAGGUAAGAAUCAGAUUUAAUUCAUUCCUCCUCCAUCCCUGUCUUGCCAACAAGGCAGCUGCCUGAGUAUUCCUGCUGUGCAUAUAGUUUCAGGUUUACUUCUUUUUAUGUGUUAAGGUGGGAUAAUUGAGAGGGAAUGUAACAUCUGAACUUUCCUUCAGUUCCUCCUAAAGAUAAAACUCCUCUCUUCUAUCCAAAAAAUUUCAUAGCUCAUUAGGUGGCUUUGCCAUUACCGAUUGAAAAAAAACAUUUUCCCCUUUUCAGGGUCUAUGAAUAUUUGCUCCACAAUCCAUUCUCAGAAGUCCUUUAAAUCUUUUUGUCCUUAGAGGUAGCUGGAACUUCAGCCUCUGCAGACAACUCUCCCCACCCUUUGAGGGGCAUUUCUUUUUGUUGAAGAAACUGAACAGAUGUGAAAAUUUUUCUUGUGAUUAAAUAGAAUUGCUAUGUUCACCAAAACUGAGUCUUCAGCUGUGAAACCUGAGAUCUACAAACACACAUAUAUAUCUCCACCUAUGUAUUCACUAUCAAGAGAACAAAAGAGCUGGACUGGAAUGGCCAACUGGAAACCUGCUGUAUUAAAUGAAAGACAACAGAGAGAUAUGAUGUAUCUUUGAUAUGAUCAAAUAUAAUCAAAUUUUAACACUAAAUCAAGAAAAGGCCCAAUCCCAGAAAAGACUUUGUGAGGUGUUCUGCUGUAAUUUCUCUGUUUAUUGCUUACAGCCUUAUUCAAAGCCAGGAAUGUCUCUGACCUUGUGCCUAUAAUAACAGCCAUGUGUGAUGGGCUUCCAGAAGUAACUCAUGUAAUUUCUCUUGGGCUAUAUAAUAAAAUGGCACAUACUUGGAAAUAUUACAGUCAUGUCAUACUAAAAAUAAAUCUGUGAAUUAUUAUCACUCAAAAUGACCAAGUGAUUUUAUCAUUGUAUUGAUCUAUUCAUUAUAAAUAUGUUUUUAAAUAAAAGGGCUUAAUCUUG